UUUCCAGCCGCCGCGGUAACACGUAGGGUGCGAGCGUUGUCCGGAAUUAUUGGGCGUAAAGAGCUCGUAGGCGGUGUGUCGCGUCGGCCGUGAAAACCUGUGGCUUAACUGCGGGCUUGCGGUCGAUACGGGCAUCACUGGAGUUCGGCAGGGGAGACUGGAAUUCCUGGUGUAGCGGUGAAAUGCGCAGAUAUCAGGAGGAACACCGGUGGCGAAGGCGGGUCUCUGGGCCGAUACUGACGCUGAGGAGCGAAAGCGUGGGGAGCGAACAGGAUUAGAAACCCGCGUAGUCC
rnacentral:rRNA from 1 species